rnacentral:lncRNA from 1 species
ACACCCGAUUCUGAGGUCACCUGUUCAGUAUAUAAGGUGCAGUGAUGCUCCUCAGCUUCAGUAUCACAGUCCACGGAUUCCAGUAAUCUGCAGAACUGACCUGUUCAUCACAAUGAAGAUGAUGUUUUCUCUGAUUCUUCUCUGGGCACUCUCCUCCACAGCUGGAGCCCUUCAGUGUCAAACCUGCACAGAUUCGACGUGUUCAACCACAGUAGCAAAUACAUGUUCAUCGGAAACAAUGUGUGUUACAGCUACCAUUCUAGCUACUUCAUCUGGAACUCCGGUCACACAAAUCUACAAGGCAUGUGCAUCUUCCUCCCUGUGUCCAGCCGUAACCUCUCAGACAUUUUCAGUCAACCUGGGUUUUCAAAGUGCUCUGGCUUCUGCUCAAUGCUGCGACACAGAUAACUGCAACUCAGCAACUCUGCCAAGUAAGUUAAAUACUACGUUGCUCAUUGAAGACAAAAGAAUAAUAUAAAGCAAUAAAAACAAUAAUCUGAUGUUGCAAGGGUCUCUGUUCUGAAAUGAAAUGUCCUCCUUUUCUGUUUCAGCUCCUGCUUCUCAGUCAAAUAAUGGUGGAGUAUGCAACUUUUGUGACCCUUCCACUGGUCAGUGCUCCUCCACAUUACAGUGUCAGGGAGUGGAGAACCAAUGCUUCCAAUUAACCAGUGAGUCUCUAUGUUGUAUCAGUUGUGUCAUCGGUUUUCU